GUGGAUGUAGCUCAAAGGCAGAGCACUGCACUGUGGCUGCAGUUGUUGGGGGUUCGAGUCCCCUCAUCCACCCCA
rnacentral:tRNA from 1 species